GUAGUCUCGCACAGAUGCAUAUCAAUAAGCGGAGGAAAAGAAACUAACAAGGAUUCCCCUAGUAACGGCGAGUGAAGCGGGAAGAGCUCAAAUUUGAAAUCUUAAAGGGUUUCCCUUUACGAAUUGUAGUUUAAAGAAGUGCUUUCUGUUGAGGUUUUGGUAAAAGUUCUUUGGAAUAGGACAUCAUAGAGGGUGAGAAUCCCGUAUUUGACCUUUACUUUCAACUUUGUGAUACACUUUCAAAGAGUCGGAUUGUUUGGGAAUGCAGUCCAAAAUGGGUGGUAAAUUUCAUCUAAAGCUAAAUAUUGGCGAGAGACCGAUAGCGAACAAGUACCGUGAGGGAAAGAUGAAAAGAACUUUGAAAAGAGAGUUAAACAGUACGUGAAAUUGUCAAAAGGGAAGCGUUUGACACCAGUGUUGUUUUUCUGAAAAUCAAUUAAAGAACUGUUUAUGCUAAGCUGUUUAGACUUUAUCAGCUAUCUGUUUAGUUUUGAGCUUUUCUUUAAUGCACUUUUCAGUUAACAAGUCAACAUCAAUUUCUUUUGCUGUAAAAAGCUUGAGGAAGGUGGCUUGAGAUUCGUCUUAAGUGUUUAUAGCCUCUUGCCUAUGCAGUCGGAGAGAUUGAGGUCUGCAGCGUAGAUCCUUCGGGGCUAAAUGCAUUUGUGCUAAGUUAUAGCAUUUUAUAGACAACUUGUUGACUAUGAUUUGUCUUGUAGCUUACUCGCUUAUGUUAUUUUACCUACGCUUAGGAUGUUGACGCAUGAGAUAUACGC
rnacentral:rRNA from 1 species